rnacentral:rRNA from 1 species
CAUGUCUUUUUGAUUAUAAUUUAAGGUCUGAUCUGCUCAAUGAGGAUUUAAAUAGCCGCGGUAUUUUGACCGUGCAAAGGUAGCAUAAUAAUUAGUUUCUUUAUUGGUAGCUGGAAUGAAUGAUUGGACGAGAAAAUUACUGUCUCUUUUUAAAAAGUUGAAUUUAACUUUUAAGUGAAAAGGCUUAAAUUUUGAUAGAAGACGAGAAGACCCUAUAGAGUUUAAUUUUUCUGGUGGAGGUUUUUAUUUGGAAUAUAAGUGAAUUUUCUUUAGCGAAAUUUGGUUGGGGUGAUUUUUGGAUUUAGUAAACUCCUAAAGCAUAUGAUCAUAGAUAUAUGAAUUUUUAUUCUAGAUUUAUUUAAUUUUAAAAUAAAUUACCUUAGGGAUAACAGCGUAAUCUUUCUUUAGAGUUCUUAUCGAAAGAAAGGUUUGCGACCUCGAUGUUGGAUUAAAAUUAAUUUUUGGCGCAGUAGCUUUAAGAUUGAGUCUGUUCGACUUUUGAAAUUUUACAUGAUCUGAGU